rnacentral:tRNA from 1 species
AGUUUUAUAGUCAAUAAAUGAUAUUAGACUGCAAUUCUAAAGGAGUAAAAAAUUACUAAGACUU